rnacentral:lncRNA from 1 species
GGAACUCAGAACUCCACCAGAUAAAUUUAACAAAGAGAUUGAAAUAAUUACUAUAAAAAGAAUAAAGCAGAAUUCUGUGUUUCAAAAUGUAAUGGGCAUAAUGAGGGAUACAUCGGAAUCUUUUAAUAGCAGAAUUUAUGAGGCAGGAAUAAAAAUCGUGAGCUUGAAGGCAGGCUAUUUGAAAAUACUGUCAGAGGAGACAAAAGUAAAAGAAAUAAGAAAGAAGCACACUUACAGGAUAUAGAAAAAUAACCUGAAAAGAGUAAAUCUCAGAGUUGUUGGUCUUAAAGAGGAGGUAGAGAAAGAGAUAAGGGUAGAAAAAUGAAGGAAAAACACUAUAUGAUUAUUUCAAUUGAUGCCGAAAAAUCAUUUGAUAAAAUUCAAUAUUCCUUCCUAAUAAAACCCAGACUGAACAAUAUAAAAGUCAUAUAUGAGAGACCCACAGCUCAUAUCAUACUAAAUGGGGAGAAACUGAAAAGCCUUUCUCUAAGAUCUGAAACACAGCAAGGAUGCCCACUUUCAUCACUGUUUUCCAACAUAUCCUGGAAGUGCUAGCAAGAGCAACUGGACAACAUAAAUAAGUAAAGGGCCCCCAAACUGGAAACAAAUAGUCAGAUUAUCCUUGUUUGCAGAUUAUAUG